AUUGAACGCUGGCGGCAGGCCUAACACAUGCAAGUCGAACGGUAACAGGAAGAAGCUUGCUUCUUUGCUGACGAGUGGCGGACGGGUGAGUAAUGUCUGGGAAACUGCCUGAUGGAGGGGGAUAACUACUGGAAACGGUAGCUAAUACCGCAUAAUGUCGCAAGACCAAAGAGGGGGACCUUCGGGCCUCUUGCCAUCGGAUGUGCCCAGAUGGGAUUAGCUAGUAGGUGGGGUAACGGCUCACCUAGGCGACGAUCCCUAGCUGGUCUGAGAGGAUGACCAGCCACACUGGAACUGAGACACGGUCCAGACUCCUACGGGAGGCAGCAGUGGGGAAUAUUGCACAAUGGGCGCAAGCCUGAUGCAGCUAUGCCGCGUGUAUGAAGAGGGCCUUCGGGUUGUAAAGUACUUUCAGCGGGGAGGAAGGGAGUAAAGUUAAUACCUUUGCUCAUUGACGUUACCCGCAGAAGAAGCACCGGCUAACUCCGUG
rnacentral:rRNA from 1 species